rnacentral:rRNA from 1 species
CAGUCGCCGCGGUAAUACGAAGGGGGCUAGCGUUGCUCGGAAUUACUGGGCGUAAAGGGCGCGUAGGCGGACAGUUCAGUCGGGGGUGAAAGCCCGGGGCUCAACCUCGGAAUUGCCUUCGAUACUGGCUGUCUUGAGUAUGAGAGAGGUGUGUGGAACUCCGAGUGUAGAGGUGAAAUUCGUAGAUAUUCGGAAGAACACCAGUGGCGAAGGCGACACACUGGCUCAUUACUGACGCUGAGGCGCGAAAGCGUGGGGAGCGAACAGGAUUAGAUACCCCGGUAGUCCCUGUCUCUUAUAA